GCCCGGGUGGCGAAACGGUAGACGCAGCCUGCUCAAACCUGGUGGCCAUAUGGCGUGAGGGUUCGACUCCCUCCCCGGGCA
rnacentral:tRNA from 1 species